ACGAACGCUGGCGGCGUGCUUAACACAUGCAAGUCGAACGGAAAGGCCUGCUUUCCCUUGUGGAUUGCGGGUACUCGAGUGGCGAACGGGUGAGUAACACGUGAGUGAUCUGCCCCCAACUUGGGUAUAAGCCUGGGAAACUGGGUCUAAUUCCCGAUAGGACUGCAGGGUGGUGCCUGUGGUGGAAAACGAUUUUCUAGUGGUUGGGGAUGAGCUCGCGGCCUCUCAGCUUGUUGGUGGGGUAAUGGCCUACCAAGGCGGCGACGGGUAGCCGGCCUGAGAGGGUGGACGGCGACAUUGGGACUGAGAUACGGCCCAGACUCCUACGGGAGGCAGCAGUGGGGAAUAUUGCACAAUGGGCGGAAGCCUGAUGCAGCGACGCCGCGUGGGGGAUGACGGCCUUCGGGUUGUAAACUCCUUUCGACCGCGAGGAAGCCACCUGGUUGGAAGGGUGGUGACGGUAGUGGUAGAAGAAGCACCGGCUAACUACGUG
rnacentral:rRNA from 1 species